rnacentral:rRNA from 1 species
CCCUUAGAUGGUCUGGGCGGCACGCGCGCUACAAUGAUGCAUUCAAAAAGUCUUCUGACCUUAGAAGGUUUGGUAUUCUCCAAAGUGCAUCGUGAUGGGAAUAGUUUAUUGCAAUUUUUAAUCUUGAACGAGGAAUUCCUAGUAAGUACAGGUCAUCAACUUGUGUUGAUUACGUCCCUGCCCUUUGUACACACCGCCCGUCGCUCCUACUGAUUGAGUGCUCAGGUGAGCCAUUCGGACUUUCAUCAUGCUGGUUUCCAGUUUUGAUGAAGGAAAGUCUUGCGAACCUUAUCAUUUAGAGGAAGGAGAAGUCGUAACA